rnacentral:rRNA from 1 species
UGGGGAAUAUUGGACAAUGGGCGCAAGCCUGAUCCAGCCAUGCCGCGUGAGUGAAGAAGGCCUUCGGGUCGUAAAGCUCUUUUGUCCGGAAAGAAAUCCUGUCGGCUAAUACCCGGCGGGGAUGACGGUACCGGAAGAAUAAGCACCGGCUAACUUCGUGCCAGCAGCCGCGGUAAUACGAAGGGUGCAAGCGUUACUCGGAAUUACUGGGCGUAAAGCGUGCGUAGGUGGUUCGUUAAGUCUGAUGUGAAAGCCCUGGGCUCAACCUGGGAACUGCAUUGGAUACUGGCGAUCUGGAGUGCGGUAGAGGGUAGCGGAAUUCCCGGUGUAGCAGUGAAAUGCGUAGAUAUCGGGAGGAACAUCCGUGGCGAAGGCGGCUACCUGGACCAGCACUGACACUGAGGCACGAAAGCGUGGGGGAGCAAACAGGAUUAGAUACCCUGGGUAGUCCACGCCCUAAACGAUGCGAACUGGAUGUUGGGUGCAACUUGGCACUCAGUAUCGAAGCUAACGCGUUAAGUUCGCCGCCUGGGAAGUACGGUCGCAAGACUGAAACUUAAAGGAAUUGAC